UUUUUUAAAUUUUUUUCAGAAUUUCAACCUUUAUUUUAGAUUUAGGGGGUAUAUGUACAGGUUGGUUACAAGGGUAUAUUGGUAUAUUGGGUGAUGCUGAGGUUUGGGAUAGAAAUGAAUCCAUCACUCAGGUAGUGAGCAUAGUACCCAAUAGUUAGUUUUUCAACCCUUCCCCUUUCCCCACUCCUCCUUCUAGUAGUUUCCAGUGUUUAUUGCUGCCAUCUUUAUGUCCAUGAGUACCCAAUGUUUAGCUCCCACUUAUAAAUGAGAACAAGUGGUAUUUGGUUUUCGGUUUCUGCAUUGACUUGCAUAGGAUAAUGGCCUCCAGCUGCAUCCAUGUUGCUGCAAAGGACAUAAUGUCAUUCUUUUUAUGGCUGUAUAGUAUUCCAUGGUGUAUAUGUACCACAGUUUCUUUAUCCAGUCCACCACUGAUGGGAAUCUAGGUUGAUUCCAUGUCUUUGCGAUUGUGAACAGUGGUGCAAUGAACAUAUGAGUGCAUGUGUCUUUUUGGUAGCCGUAUUUACUUUCCUUUGGGUAAUGAGAUUUCAGGGACCCAGUAAUGAGAUUGCCGGGUUCAAUGGUAGUUCUGUUUUAAAUUCUUUGAGAAAUCUUUAAACUGCUUUCCACAGUGGAUGAGCGAAAUUACAUUUCCACCAACAGUGUAUAAAUGUACCCUUUUCACCACAGCCUUGGCAGCAUCUGUUGAUUUUCGACUUUCUUAUAAUAGCCACCUGGCUGGUGUGAAAUGGUAUCUCAUUGUGGUUUUGAUUUGCCUUUCUCUGAUGAUUAGUGAUGAUGAGAAUUUUUUCAUAUAUUUGUUGGCUACUUUUAUGUCUUUUUUUGUGAAGUCUCUGUUCAUAUCUUUUGCCUAUUUUUAAUGGGAUUAUUUAGUUUUUGUUUGUUGAAUUAAGUUCCUUAUAGAUUCUGCAGAUUAGACCUUUAUCUAAUGUAUGGCUUACCAAUAUUUUCUCCCAUUCUGUAGGUUAUCUGUUUACUCUGUUAAUAGUUUCUUUUGCUGUGCAGAAGCUCUUCAGUUUAAUUAGGUCCCACUUGUCAAUUUUCAUUUUUGUUGCAAUUGGUUUUGAGGACUUAGUCACGAAUUAUUUCACAAAGCAGAUGGGCAGAAUGGUGUUUUCUAGGUUUUCUUCUAGGAAUCCUAUAGUUUGAAGUCUUACAUUUAGAUUUUUAAUCCAUCUUGAGUUAAUUUUUUUAUGUGGUAAAAGGAAGGGGUUCAGUUUUAUUCUUUUUUAAAUAUACUUUAAGUUCUAGGGUAUAUGUGCACAGCGUGCAGGUUUGUUACAUAUGUAUACAUGUGCCAUGUUGGUGUGCUGCACCAAUUAACUUGUCAUUUACAUUAGGUAUAUCUCCUAAUGCUAUCCCUUGCCCCUCCCCCCACCCCACAACAGGCCCCGGUGUGUGAUGUUCCCCUUCCUGUGUCCAAGUGUUCUCAUUGUUCAAUUCCCACCUAUGAGUGAGAACAUGCGGUGUUUGGUUUUUUGUCCUUGCGAUAGUUUGCUGAGAAUGAUGGUUUCCAGCUUCAUUCAUGUACCUACAAAGGACAUGAACUCAUCCUUUUUUAUGGCUGCAUAGUAUUCCAUGGUGUCUACGUGCCACAUUUCCUUAAUCCAGUCUAUCAUUGAUGGACAUUUGGGUUGGUUCCAAGUCUUUGCUAUUGUGAAUAGUGCUGCAAUAAACAUACGUGUGCAUGUGUCUUUAUGGCAGCAUGACUUACAAUCCUUUGGGUAUAUACCCAGUAAUG
rnacentral:lncRNA from 10 species